rnacentral:rRNA from 1 species
AGGGGUAGAGUUAGCUUGCUAACUUGAGACCGGCGCACGGGUGCGUAACGCGUAUGCAAUCUACCUUUUGCAGAGGGAUAGCCCAGAGAAAUUUGGAUUAAUACCUCAUAGUAUAUAUGAAUGGCAUCAUUUAUAUAUUAAAGUCACAACGGCAAAAGAUGAGCAUGCGUCCCAUUAGCUAGAUGGUAAGGUAACGGCUUACCAUGGCUACGAUGGGUAGGGGUCCUGAGAGGGAGAUCCCCCACACUGGUACUGAGACACGGACCAGACUCCUACGGGAGGCAGCAGUGAGGAAUAUUGGACAAUGGGCGCAAGCCUGAUCCAGCCAUGCCGCGUGCAGGAUGACGGUCCUAUGGAUUGUAAACUGCUUUUGUACGGGAAGAAACCCUCCUACGUGUAGGAGCUUGACGGUACCGUAAGAAUAAGGAUCGGCUAACUCCGUGCCAGCAGCCGCGGUAAUACGGAGGAUCCAAGCGUUAUCCGGAAUCAUUGGGUUUAAAGGGUCCGUAGGCGGUUUAGUAAGUCAGUGGUGAAAGCCCAUCGCUCAACGGUGGAACGGCCAUUGAUACUGCUAGACUUGAAUUAUUAGGAAGUAACUAGAAUAUGUAGUGUAGCGGUGAAAUGCUUAGAGAUUACAUGGAAUACCAAUUGCGAAGGCAGGUUACUACUAAUGGAUUGACGCUGAUGGACGAAAGCGUGGGUAGCGAACAGGAUUAGAUACCCUGGUAGUCCACGCCGUAAACGAUGGGUACUAGCUGUUGGGCGCAAGUUCAGUGGCUAAGCGAAAGUGAUAAGUAUCCCACCUGGGGAGUACGU